rnacentral:rRNA from 1 species
UACGUAGGGUGCAAGCGUUGUCCGGAAUUAUUGGGCGUAAAGAGCUCGUAGGCGGUUUGUCGCGUCGGCUGUGAAAACUCGGGGCUCAACCCCGAGCCUGCAGUCGAUACGGGCAGACUAGAGUGCUGUAGGGGAGACUGGAAUUCCUGGUGUAGCGGUGAAAUGCGUAGAUAUCUGGAGGAAUACCGGUGGCGAAGGCGGCAUCCUGGACCAACACUGACGCUGAGGCGCGAAAGCUAGGGGAGCAAACGGG